ACCUCAAGUCAUGUGAGAGUACCCGCUGAACUUAAGCAUAUCAAUAAGCGGAGGAAAAGAAACUAACAAGGAUUCCCCUAGUAACGGCGAGUGAAGCGGGAAGAGCACAAAUUUUAAAUCUACCUUGGUUUUUCAGGUCGAGUUGUAAUUUGAAGAAACGUUUUUUACGUUCCGGGUUGGAUUAAAUCCUUUGGGAUAAGGUAUCAUGGAGGGUGAGAAUCCCGUGUAUACCAACCACUGGAAUGUUAUUAAUACGAUUUCUAAGAGUCGAGUUGUUUGGGAAUGCAGCUCUAAAUGGGUGGUAAAUUUCACCUAAUGCUAAAUAUAAGCGAGAGACCGAUAGUGAACAAGUACCGUGAGGGAAAGAUGAAAAGAACUUUGAAAAGAGAGUUAAAUAGUACGUGAAAUUGUUGAAAGGGAAACGGUUGAAGUCAGUCAUGCCGGCGGGAAUCAACUUAGGGGAAACUCUAGGUGCACUUCUUCGCUUGGCAGGUUAGCGUCGAUUUUGGAUGUCAUAAAAUGACUAGGGGAAGGUAGCUCUUUCGGGAGUGUUAAGCCCUUGGUAGAUGUGAUGUUCGGGAUCGAGGAUUGCAACGGAUACCUUUUGGGCUAGCCACCUGGUCUCUAAUAUGAAGUUGGGUUAUAGAUAGCAUGCUAACUAUGAUCUGAUUUUCGGUUAAAAGAUUAGAGUGAGUGUAAAUUCGUUAAGGACGCUGACGUAAUGGCUUUAAACGACCCGUCUUGAAACACGGACCAAGGAGUCUAACAUAUAUGSGAGUGUUU
rnacentral:rRNA from 1 species